rnacentral:rRNA from 1 species
UACGGAGGGGGCAAGCGUUGUUCGGAAUUACUGGGCGUAAAGCGCACGUAGGCGGCUUUGCAAGUUAGAGGUGAAAGCCCGGGGCUCAACUCCGGAAUUGCCUUUAAAACUGCAUCGCUAGAAUUGUGGAGAGGUAAGUGGAAUUCCGAGUGUAGAGGUGAAAUUCGUAGAUAUUCGGAAGAACACCAGUGGCGAAGGCGGCUCACUGGCUCAUUACUGACGCUCAGGCGCGAUAGCGUGGGGAUCAAACAGG